rnacentral:rRNA from 1 species
UUUUACACAAACUCGUAUGUAAAAGAAUGUAGAUCUAGUGCGUAAGCACGAAAUAAACAACUUUCAACAACGGAUCUCUUGGCUCUCGCAUCGAUGAAGAACGCAGCGAAAUGCGAUAAGUAAUGUGAAUUGCAGAAUUCAGUGAAUCAUCGAA